AAACCAACAGGGAUUGCCUCAGUAACGGCGAGUGAAGCGGCAAAAGCUCAAAUUUGAAAUCUGGCACUUUCAGUGUCCGAGUUGUAAUUUGUAGAAGUAGUUUUGGGACUGGUCCUUAUCUAUGUUUCUUGGAACAGGACGUCAUAGAGGGUGAGAACCCCGUAUGAUGAGGCCCCCAGUCCUUUGUAAAACGCUUUCGAAGAGUCGAGUUGUUUGGGAAUGCAGCUCUAAGUGGGUGGUAAAUUCCAUCUAAAGCUAAAUAUUGGCGAGAGACCGAUAGCGAACAAGUACAGUGAUGGAAAGAUGAAAAGAACUUUGAAAAGAGAGUGAAAAAGUACGUGAAAUUGUUGAAAGGGAAGGGCAUUUGAUCAGACAUGGUGUUUUUUAAAUGUGCAAGUCUCUCGUGGACAUGUGCCUCUGGGAAAUUAACACUGGGCCAACAUCAGUUCUGGCGGCAGGAUAAAUCAUUAAGAAUGUAGCUACUUCGGUAGUGUUAUAGCUUUUUGGAAUACUGCC
rnacentral:rRNA from 1 species